rnacentral:rRNA from 1 species
ACUACGGGGGGCAGCAGUGGGGAAUAUUGCACAAUGGGCGCAAGCCUGAUGCAGCCAUGCCGCGUGUGUGAAGAAGGCCUUCGGGUUGUAAAGCACUUUCACCGGGGAGGAAGGCGGUGAGGUUAAUAACCUCAUCGAUUGACGUUACCCGCAGAAGAAGCACCGGCUAACUCCGUGCCAGCAGCCGCGGUAAUACGGAGGGUGCAAGCGUUAAUCGGAAUUACUGGGCGUAAAGCGCACGCAGGCGGUCUGUCAAGUCGGAUGUGAAAUCCCCGGGCUCAACCUGGGAACUGCAUUCGAAACUGGCAGGCUAGAGUCUUGUAGAGGGGGGUAGAAUUCCAGGUGUAGCGGUGAAAUGCGUAGAGAUCUGGAGGAAUACCGGUGGCGAAGGCGGCCCCCUGGACAAAGACUGACGCUCAGGUGCGAAAGCGUGGGGAGCAAACAGGAUUAGAUACCCCAGUAGUC